rnacentral:rRNA from 1 species
UAACUGAAGAGUUUGAUCAUGGCUCAGAUUGAACGCUGGCGGCAGGCUUAACACAUGCAAGUCGAGCGGAGAGAGGUAGCUUGCUACUGAUCUUAGCGGCGGACGGGUGAGUAAUGCUUAGGAAUCUGCCUAUUAGUGGGGGACAACAUUUCGAAAGGAAUGCUAAUACCGCAUACGUCCUACGGGAGAAAGCAGGGGAUCUUCGGACCU